rnacentral:lncRNA from 1 species
AUAUGGGUUUGUAACUUCAUUCCAUUGUCCUUUUGCAAAUCAGUAAGUUCAUAUAUGUCCUUCUUAUUAUUAUUUUUUUUCCCUCAAAGCAAAUUAAAAAAAACUAAUAUUUUGAUUCUGAAUUCUGAGUUUUGGAUGCAGUGUCAGCGAUAAAAAUAGUAGAGUAUAGAGUGGCAGGACUGGAAGGAAGGCUAUUAUAGAAUUCUAUUUCUACCAAUUUAUGAUAAUCCUUCUUCCAUAGGGAAAAGGUAUUUGUUAACUUUCCCCCUUUUAAUAUUUUUAUUUUGGAUCUAUAUUUUGUUUUUUGCUAUACUGCAGUUUUUUUAAUCAUGGGUUCUGUUACUGUAUUUUCUUUUACAUACAUUGGAUUUUCCUCCAGGUUUAUAAUGAAUAUGGAGGUGUUUGAGAUGAAGUUUUUUCUUCUAGAGGGAAAAACUAUUCACAUUAGUAAUUGGUUCCCUAUACAUUACGAAAUCAAAGCUUUGAUCUUUU